UCCUUCCAGGUUCGUCAGCAUCAGCGACCUGUUUGCGCCGACCGAUUUGGGAACGGAGAGCCAGAUCUUCAUCUCUCGCACCUACGACGCCACCACUCACUUCGAGACGACGUGCGAUGACAUCAAGGAUAUUUAUAAGAGGAUGAUGGGAUCAGAGUUUGACUUUGAGGAGAUGAAGCGCAAGAAGAACGAUAUCUACGGGGAGGAGGAGCAGCAGUAAUGAGAAUCUCUAAUUAGGAGAAAUUAAAUCGGCUAAUAUGAAUAUAUAAGGAACUUAAUGAACACUGUAUGAAAUUCAAUAUUGUAAGGCCUGCUUUUGUAAUCCCAUCUCUGAGAGAUUGAAGAGUACUGCACUGGUAAUGUUCCCCUUUUGGAUAUCAUGUGUUAAUUAUUUCAUUCUAGUAGGGCUGCUGUCCAGAAUCUGGCAAAUUACUGACUGAUUUAAUGACUAACCUUGUUAAGUGGGGGGGAAAAAAGAGCCGACUGGACUUCUUUUGCGGACUUAGACAUUGGUGCAGAUUGGAAUAACUCAUUGACAGCUGUGUCUUACCUUGUAUUUUUAAUCAUUUGUAAACAUACUUCACAAUUAUGUGCUUCUGGUGAGCUAGUAACCGUGACGGUUGUCACUCGAACCUGUUAUCAAGGAAAAUAGAAACUGAGCACUCCAUUAUUGUGGACAGCAUCCCUAGAGUCUCUCCCAUCAAUCUAACUCUGUGGCAAGUUGUAUUAUGGACAAAGCCCACAUCUAUUGUAGCAGCAACUGUUGGCAUAGUUCUGGGCACAGGACUUAACCUCCACUUUCAGCUUCUCAAACUUGUUUACAUCGGUUGGGACACAGCUGUGCCUAAGGCUCCUUUGUGUUUUAAUCUAAUAAAAUUGAGAGAACAAAUUACAGAGCAGGCAAGAUGUGAAAGUAUUUUCUGUACCCUAGUGGCUUCUCGGACGGACCAAACUGCGCUGCGGUAUCGGUAUGACAGAGCCUGUGCUUCUUGUGUCUCCUGAAGGCUCCAAAUGAUUUCUGUACUGCGAAGUAAAGCCAAAUUCUGGAAACCA